rnacentral:rRNA from 1 species
UACGAAGGGGGCUAGCGUUGCUCGGAAUCACUGGGCGUAAAGGGCGCGUAGGCGGCCAUUCAAGUCAGAGGUGAAAGCCCAGAGCUCAACUCUGGAACUGCCUUUGAUACUGGGUGUCUUGAGUAUGAUAGAGGUAUGUGGAACUCCGAGUGUAGAGGUGAAAUUCGUAGAUAUUCGGAAGAACACCAGUGGCGAAGGCGACAUACUGGAUCAUUACUGACGCUGAGGCUCGAAAGCGUGGGGGAGCAAACAGG